AAAAUUUUUUAUUUAUUCUAAAAUAUUUUACUAAUUAGGAAUUUGAGUAACAGAAAUGAAGCCUGGUUUAGAAUGCACAAGAAUGUGAUUUAGAGCUAACACAGAUGUGCUGAUCACAAGAAGACCUCUAGAGAUCAUCCAGCCUUUCCUUUACCUUUUUAUUAUAUUCAGGUUCUCAACAGUUUGGAUAAUGUUUCACCUGUGUCAGCAGAUUUUCUUUACUCAGUCUACCAAUUCAAAUUCUAAUUUCUUCCAGAAACACCCUCACAGACACACUCAGAAAUAAUGUUUUACCAGCUAUCUGGGCAUUCCUUAGCCUAGACAAGUUGACACAUAAAAUUAACCAUUACACAUUUGUAGUUAAGGGUGGCCAUGCUAAAAAUUUUGCAAAUGUAACAUACUUGGGAGUAACCUCUUCUCCUUAUUCUUUUUCCUUCCUAAAACUCUGGAGGUACAGUAGUUGUUUUGAGACCAUGGAGACUGAAUAUACUAUAGGGAAGAAGAGCAGGACAACUAAAGGAACUGGGUACCUGAUGGCAUUAUUUAGAUACAGAAUCCAGCCUGGAUUGCACACUCCCAGGUUUUUGCUGUGUGACUAAAUAAGAAUUAACCACUACAUUAGAUUUUCUUGCAUUCACUUGAAUGCAAUCCUAGCAGCUACACUCAACAUAUCUCUAAUUUAUAUUAUCCUAUGUCUCUCACCUUUCUUCUUAUUUCUCACCUUUUCUCAUAUCCAUGAGUGGUACUCCCAUUAGUCCAGGAUCUCAAACCAGAAUUACAGAGUGAAAUUCAAUUCUUCCAUCUCCUUCAUGAUCCUGUCCUCCUAAUACCUCUUUAACAUUGCAUCAGUCCAUCUACUUCUCUUUGUCCUGCUGCCAUAUGUUAGUACAGGAUUUGCCUAGAUUAUUGUAGCAAACUUUUUUUUUUUUUUUUUUUUUUAGAUGGAGUUUUGCUCUUGUUGCCCAGGCUGGAGUGCAAUGGCAGCUAUCUCAGCUCACUGUAACCUCUGCCUCGCGGGUUCAAGCGAUUCUCCUGCCUCAGCCUCCUGAGUAGCUGGGAUUACAGGCAUGCCCCACCAUGCCUGGCUAAUUUUGUAUUUUUAGUAGAGACAGGGUUUCUCCAUGCUGGUCAGGCUGGCCUCGAACGCCCGGCCUCAGGUGAUCUGCCUGCCUCGGCCUCCCAAAGUGCUGGGAUUAUAGUGUGAGCCACCAUGCCCGGCCUGUAGCAAACAUUUAAAACUGAUCUCUGUGUAUUUAGUCUUGCUCUACUUCAGGACAUUCUCAAUACUGCAGCAAAAGUUAUUCUAAAAUGCAAAUCUCAUUUUGGCAGGGAUGCUGCUAAAUAUCCUACAGUGCACAGAACGGCCACCAACGACCAAGAAUUAUCCAGUCCAAAAUGUCAGUAAAGCUGAGGUUAAGAAAUCCUGUUCCAGAAUAUCACAUUUUUUGAGUAAUUUCACUGCUGUAGAAAGAAGACUAGUGACAAAGAUGGAACAGUGAGAAAAGCACCACAUCAGAACUCUGUGAAUCUCUUGCUACUAAUUUUGCUCAAGUACCCAUCCCUUUAGCAUACCACCUAUGUUUAAGGAAAUGGCUCCAUCCCCAACUCAGGCAAAUGUAUUCUGAUUAUUUUAAGCCAUUUAUCUUAGUUCCAUGGUAUCCUUUUUAGGCCAAAGAGAUAUGAGGAGGGGUUGGAUGAAGGCUUCUGGAAAAAUUUCUCCACUUUUAAGUAGGUAACACUGAAAAAUCAGACCUUUUCAGCUUCUCCACUUCAUUCUGUCUGGAUGUGAUACCUAGAAAUGCUACCAGCUGAGGAAGAAGCCAAAAUGUGGAGAAGGACAGAAUCAAGAGAAUUGCAAAGAAGCUGAGUUGGAAUCCUGACAAACCACGCUGGAGUGGCCCUACCUCCGUUGUUUCAGGCAUUUUGAGUCAGGGCUUUCUGGUACUUACAGUCAAAGGCAUCUAAAUGACAGUCUCCAAAAUUCACCAUAGCAUUGUCUCUGUGAGAUAGAGGAAAAGAUGAAGAUGUGAAAAAUGGAGCACAGAAAGAUUACAAUAUUGACCAAGAUCAUGAAUCUAGAAAGUGUCAUAGUCAGGACUUAAGUCUAAGUCCUCUGAUCUAGUGCUCUUUCCAUCAAAUGACAGCUAGAGGUUGGAGCAAACCUAUGAGUUAUGAGAGAAGUAGGAAGGCAGCUCCAGACCACUUGCAAGGAAACUGGGAUCUGCUCUGGGUUGUGUCAUCCACCAGCUGUGAAAACUUAGCUGAGUCAUUUUUAUUUCUCUGAGCCACAAUUUCAAGGAACUACACUAGACAAUCUAUUAUGUGCUUCCGAUUCUAACAUCCUAUGGCUCUGUAACUGAGAAUGCUUAUGCAAAUAAGGUACAAAUCAUGCUUUAUAUAAACUAUGAGUCUUCCCCGGUGACUACCGGAGAAACCCACUGUGUAUAUUCUGCUGGGGUUCUAUUUUAGCUUCCACAUUCAUGUCCCAUGAACACCUGUGAAAAUGUCAGCAGUUAACAGAUGAGUUGAACAUCAACUUAAACUAGCUUUAUAACCCAAGUCACGGGCUUCUCAUUUGCAGAAUAAUUUUACUCUAGAGCUGCAAAAAUCAUUCGUUGAUGAGCUAAUUUUGUCACUGUGAUUCUUAGAACACAUUUAAAUGGGCAUAAAAAGGCAGUCUUACAGAGUCUUCAAGAUGCUUAUUUAUUAUACACUCGAAUGGCAAGUUUCCACAAUUAAUUGUCCUAUGACUGAUUUCCCUUCACUAUUUUAAUGAAGCAUGUGAUAUUUGCUACCUCAAUAGGUUUAGGUUUGCAAAUUUAGCACUAGAGGAGCUAUUUUCCCCUAAGCAAUUUGUCAGCAGUUUGAGAAAAUUGUCAUCAGGGAAACCAUGUACUUUGGCUGCAGUUUCACAGUCCAAAAGCUUGUCUUCACACAGACAAAUUAUUAAGUCAAAGAAAAUGUAGCACAGCAUCACUUAAAUCUCUGAACUAGAAACUAGUCUAUGUUAGAAAGCACAAAAUGAUACUAGCAGAGAAAUUGUAAAGUAUAAAAUAAUGCUUUAUGAAGAAUUUUAAGCACUGGCUGACUAGAAAUAUUAGGGGUUAUGGCUACAUAAGGAAAAUAACUAAAGGGGUAUGGGGAAAAGAUUGGAGGAAGUCCAGUUGAGUGUGGAAUACAGUGGUUUUUGCCUUUAUUCUUAGAAAAAAGAUGCUGGAAAUUGAGUCCUCAGAGGAAUGAAUCAAGUGCAAAGGUGGUGAUAUAAAACCUUGUGUUAGGUCUUUUUCUAAGUGUCCUAACUUACAUUAGUCAAGUAAAAUAGAAUCUAUUGGCUCAUAUAAAUGGGAUGUCCAAAGGGCAGGCUGAACGCCCGACUGUAACCAGGCACUCAGAUGAUUUCAUCUUUCAGCUCCGCAUCUUGCUGGAUAUUGGCUUCCUUCUGUGGGUAAGCUCUUGAUACACACUGGAAAAGGUGGCUACAGGAAGCUCAAGGCUGUAUCCUUUUCCUUCCCAGGGAAGUAUAUGUAAAUUGUAGGAAACCAUCUGAUUAGCCCUGUUUAGUUCAUAAACUUACCCUGGAUCAAUCACUGUGCCAAGGAGAUGGCAUACUCUUAUUGGCCAGCCUGGGUCACUGCUGAUGCCUAGGUUAGGGAAGCAUUAUGACAGACAUUCCAUUGGGAACUUAUGUUGUAGGGGUAGGGAGUUUACCCAAAGUAAGGGAUUUUGGACGGACAAAAUUGUAGGUCUACUUGAAGGUUCUCUUGAAAUUUCUUAUAGUUUUCAUUUUUAACACUAAACCUAAAGCUAAAGAACUAAAAAGAAAAGUGAGUCAUGGACAAGCUUUUACAAAUUAUCCCAAAAUACUUUGCCCUAAAUUAGAAUAAAUAAAAUAAUUAGAAUGAAUAAAACUUAAAGUAGGUAGUGUGCUCUUUUCAUCUAAUUCAUAUUUUUACUAUAAACUUGUUAUUAAAAGAAAUACAAAUUGCUAAAUGUAAAAUGACUGAUAAUUUAGAAGAAAAUUUAAAUAAUCAUGAAUUAGACGAUGCUUUCCUAAUGGCAGAAUCCAUCCUCAAUUAUUAAUUUGUUUCCACACUUGAAUAAAUCUAAUGUAACCCAGGAGAUACUGGAAAUGAUGUGCUUAUUAACCUUAAUGGAAUUAGUAAUUAGAGUGGGUUCCAUGGAACAGACUCUGAGAUGAAAGACAUGCAGACUUAUAAGAAAGGGAGGAAGGCAGGAUUAAGCAGAGGGAAAAGCUGAUCUGCCACGCAAUUGCAACUGAAAUCUCAGCCCAUCCAUAGGAGCUCUGGAGCUGGUGUGGCCCUUUAAAGUUCCUAAAUUGAGGCAAGGGGCCAGGCCUUUGUACUUCUACAUUGACCAGUUACUUAAUGCACGCUGACCCAGGGUGGAGAGAGGGACAUAAACGUGGGCCAGGAAACUCCCUCAGCUGAGGGCAAUUCCUAGGCAGGGACUCAGCUGUGAGCUUUAAGCAGAAAACAUUGCUGGGAGCUGGGGGAGUGAAUGCCUUAGAGCUUUAGCGCAUCACAGCAUCCACUACAGGGACUGCCGCUUGAAAGACAUAUCAUGACAGUACUCAAAUGCCAGGACUAGUUUCAUUUUGGUCUCCAGACGGAAACAGUCUCUUCUGGCCAGAGAACAUUUAAAUGUUUCCCAUUGUCACAACAGACAAGAUAACAAAGGAGUCAGAUCAAAGAAUGCUAAUCCUGGUUAGAGGAGGCAAUUACUCAAGAGAACAGAGAUAAGGAAUAAGGUAAUUCCAGUGAGAGGAGCACAAAGCAUCACAUAGGUGCUCCUAGGGUUUACAAGCAAAGAAUCAUCUGCAUAGAACCUUGAAGCAAGAUUUUUUUUUUGAGACAGGGUCUUGCUCUGUUGUCCAGGCUAGAGUGCAGUGGUGCAAUCAUGGCUUACUGCAGCCUCCAUUUCUUGGGCUCAGCUGAUCCUCCCCUCUAAGCCUUCCAAGUAGCUGGGACUAUAGGUGCAUGUCACCAUGCCUGGCUAGUUUUUUGUAGACACAAUUUUUUGUAUUUUUUGGGUUUUGUCUCCAUUGCCCAGGCUAGGACUGAAGCAAGCCACCCACCUCAACCUCCCAAAGUGUUGGCAUCACAGGCAUGAUCCACCACACUCAGCCUUGAAACCAGAUUUAAAUAUCUCAGCCCAGACAGUGUCUUAACAGAAACAGAACAGCUGAGGCAAAAAAAGAAGAUUCUCUUAGCCCAAAGUCAGUGCCCUCAUCCAAACUACUUAAUUGUGAUGACCAGUACCUUGAUAAGAGCUGGAAUGGAUAUUACAUUAUAAUUUAUUCAAUACAUCUGUUAAAACAAAGGUGUCAAUUUUUGCUUCUCCUUAAAAGUCUUUAGGCUGGCAUUUUAGGGUAAAAUAGAAGGGUAUUAUAUAUCCAAUCUCAAGUUGUCUAUCUAGCAAUUUUUCUCUAAAUCAAGUUCUUUUCAUCAUCUCUAGCUCCACUAACGGGCAAAAUUUUUCCUCCUUGCUAGUCCGAAACCCCUGAGAGGUAGCAUCUCUGUUCUCAUGAGUACCAAAAAUGGGAAAAUGUGGGACAAUUCUCAUUUCUCUUUACUGCUCUGCCCCUUUGUUUAUCGUAUUAAUUACACAGAAGACUGCACAGAUAUAUUAGAUUUUACUGAUUGGUUGGAGGUGGCUGAUGAAAAUUAUAAUGUAGGGUGAGAAAAAAAAGCUAUUUCUUUUUCUUUUGAGACAGGGUCUCUUGCCCAGGCUGGAGUGCAGUGGCAGUAUCUUGGCUUGCAGGAGCCUCAAACUCCCGGGCCCAAGAGAUCCUCCCACCUCAGCCUCCCAAAUAGCUGGAACUAUAGGUGCACCACACCUGGCUAAUUUUUGUAUUUUUUGUAGAAACAAGGUUUCGCUAUGUUGCCCAGGCUGGUCUCGAACUCCUGAGCUCAAAUGAUACACCCACUUCGGCCUCCCAAAGUGCCAAGAUUACAGGCGUGAGCCACCGUGCCUGGCCGAAAGAGCCAUUUCUGUGUAAUUUUUCUGCAUAGUUUAAAAUAAAACCAUGUAAGAAACUGACUGUCAUAGGCAGUUAUAGUUCUCCCCAGUCCUUGUUCCUUUAAGUUUAGAUCUCUUUGUAAGAAUAUAAACUUCUAACUCUGCCCAUAGCUCCCCAUGUACUUUUCAGGUAAUUCUAUCUUUAGUCAUGAAAGUUGAUGUUCCCUUAGGAUUCACGCUUCUUUUCUCAGCAGUAUCUUUAGCCAAAUCUGAAUUAAUCUGUUCAGAAUGAACAAGCAGAAUAGUCUUUGGAUUUGAUCCAAAUCCCUGAAGCACUUUGGGAAUGAGAAUGGCUAUGCCAGACAGAGAGACCCUGGCGACUUAUGAUACUGCAGAACACAACAGGCACUUCAGAUUGGUCCCAGGUAAGGCUUCUCCACCACUGUGUCACACACUUCUCUUUAUUCUUUCACUUGUCUGACAAAUAACAGUUGAAUCCAAUAUCUACCCCCAAAGCCCCCUUUUAAGGACAGACUAAACCCGUAUGAAAGAAAAAAAAUGUUUUCUUACUAGUUCUGUAAUUUGCAAAGUCAAAUUCUUCUCUUGAGGUGUAAUUGAUAUAAUACACAGAGUAUUUCAUGUCAUACUGUCUGCCUCUUCCCAACUUUGAAUUGCAGACUUGGGUCCAUUAGAAAUAAGAAACUGAUCAUUUACUGAGUUAAGCAUUUCCAUUUAAUCAUCAUUCCAUCUUAUAUAUUUUUCAUUUUAGAGUUGGUUCAGUUAUAUUCAACAAAUUCUUUUAAACCCUCAUUUAGUCCUCUACGUACUGAUAUAUAUAUAGAUGCCUAAACCAAAUGGACCUCAUUUCCUUUAAAAUUCUGAUAUCCAAAAUAAGCAGCACCAGGUAAGUAACUCCUGUUAUGGGAUCUUGUCUGGGCAUGCUAUACUUUAUACUAAAUCACCUGAAAUAUUCCUUGGUUCUUAGGAAAACAAGCAUCCUAGGUGAUUUAGAUAAUUUAGGGUGCUUAUUUGAAAAAAGGUUUGGGGCUUUAUUUAAUCAUUUUAUUUAUAUAUUUUUAAAUUAUUUGAGCAUAAUAAAAUAUUAAAAGAGUGUUUUUCCUCCUUUGUUAUUUCUGAAGUAUUGAAUUUAUUUGCAGUUAAGUUGAGGGAGAGCAGUGAUAUUGAGCAGUCAGCUAAAGAAACAAAGCUGUAGAGGUAAGUAGACCAGGUCUUAGAAAACCUUGUCUUUCAUGCUAAGAAGUUUAGACAUAAAAUCAAUAGCUUAAGGCAGUGGGAAUCCACUGUAGACCUCCCUUUUUUUUUCUUUUUUCCAUUGAAGGAUUUUUUACAGUAAAGUGACAUGACUCUGUUUUUGUUUUAGAAAGAUUAGGUUAGUGGCAGUGUAGAAAAUAAAUUUAAGAAGCAUUGAUCCAUUUGUUCAUCUAACAAAUAUUAAAUAUUAUGAAUGUUCUUUUCCCUCAGGGAGCUUAAUUUUUUGAGGGAGACAAAUGACAACCAUUUAUAUAAUAAGUAAUUUAUUUAUACUUGGGAGGAUUGCUAUGAAUGAGGAGUACAGCAUUGAAUAAGAAUGUAUAAUGAGGAGGCCAGGCGCAGUGUCUCAUGCCUGUAAUUUCAACAUUUUGGGAGGCCUAGGCAAGCUGAUCACUUGAGUCCAGGAGUUGGAGACCAGCCUGGCCAACAUGGUGAAAUCCCAUCUCUACUAAAAACACAAAAAUUAGCCAGGCAUGGUGGCAGGUGUCUGUAAUCCCAGCUACUCGGGAGGCUGAGGCAAGAGAAUCGCUUGAACUUGAGAGGCGAAGAUUGCAGUGAGCCGAGAUCAGCCACUGCACUGCAGAGUCUCACUCUGUCAGGAAAAAAAAAAAAAAAAAAAAAAAAAAAAAAAAAAAAAAGAAUGUAUAAGGAGAAAACUAGUUUUGUGGAGGUUCAGGGAAGCCUUCUAGAGAAUAAGACUUGAGGCACAGAGACAAAUUAUGUCUGUUGCCUAACUGAAAUUGGAUGAAAUUGAAUCAGUUGGGGAUAUAUCACAUAGAAUUAAAUAGAUCCCCCAAAGAGUUGAUGAUUAUGUGUAAGUGGGGAAGCUAGGAUUCUAGGAAGAUACACAAGUAUUUGGCUUAGACAACUGGAUGGAUGAUGGUUGGGAGGUGAGGGAAGAUGUUGAUUUUGGAGUGUUCAUAGGCCAUGGUAGUUCACACCCCCAGAAAGUAAUUGGGUAUAGAAAUUUGGAAUAAAAGAAAAACCUUUGGACUAAAGAUAUCAUUUUCGAGUCAUUGAGACUGAGUUGAUAAAUAUAGGUAUAGAAUUAGAAGAGAUAAUUUGUAAAUAAUUUUCAGAAUGAGACUAGAAAAAACUUAGUACAUAAUCUUAAAAAAUAGUAACAUUUAAGGGAUAGACAGGGGAAGUGGAAUUCAUGGAAAAUACUGAGAAGAAACUAAUAGAGAGCCAGGAAGGAAACUUUGGUGUCAUGAUCUGUGGAAGGCAGAGGAAGGACGAGGGCUUGGCCACUGAUGUCAAAUGCUACAGAGAGCUCGAGCAGAUAUGGAAAAGUAUCAACCAGCUUUAGUAACAAAGGCAUCACAUGAUCAGGAUAGUUUCUGUGGAGUGGUAAUGAAGGCCAGAUUGCAAAGAAUCACUGAACAAUAAGGAGAAACAAAUGCAGACCAUUCAUUUAAGAUUCUUGACUAUAGAGAGAUGAAAGAGAUCACC
rnacentral:lncRNA from 10 species